GAUGAAGAACGUAGCGAAAUGCGAUACGUAAUGUGAAUUGCAAAUUCAGUGAAUCAUCGAGUCUUUGAACGCAGAUUGCGCCCCCUGGUAUUCCGGGGGGCAUGCCUGUCCGAGCGUCAUUGCUGCCCUCAAGCACGGCUUGUGUGUUGGGCCCCGUCCUCCGAUCCCGGGGGACGGGCCCGAAAGGCAGCGGCGGCACCGCGUCCGGUCCUCGAGCGUAUGGGGCUUUGUCACCCGCUCUGUAGGCCCGGCCGGCGCUUGCCGAUCAACCCAAAUUUUUAUCCAGGUUGACCUCGGAUCAGGUAGGGAUACCCGCUGAACUUAAGCAUAUCAAUAAGCGGAGGA
rnacentral:misc_RNA from 1 species